AGAUAUUAGCAGAAGAAGGAGAAAGAGAAACAUCUAAAACAAUUGUGGAGACAUUUUACUGAGUCGAACAAAGCUAACUUCUAAAUAAAAUAAAGGAAAAAUUAACAAAACAUUGCAGUCUUAACAUGAAGUUGGCAAUUGCUCUUUCUACAUUAACUCUUGCAUUUGUUUGUGGAACAACAUUAGUGAAGAGUAUUCUCCCAUUUUGGAUUCGAACGACAACACCAAUGCCCACUUUACCUCCAACUAGUGACAAGCAGUUUUAUGACAAAUUCAAACAAAUUCCUCCAAAAAAUGCCACAGCA